UACACUCCUGCGGGAGGCAGCAGUGGGGAAUAUUGCACAAUGGGCGCAAGCCUGAUGCAGCCAUGCCGCGUGUAUGAAGAAGGCCUUCGGGUUGUAAAGUACUUUCAGCGGGGAGGAAGGCAAUACGGUUAAUAACCGUGUUGAUUGACGUUACCCGCAGAAGAAGCACCGGCUAACUCCGUGCCAGCAGCCGCGGUAAUACGGAGGGUGCAAGCGUUAAUCGGAAUUACUGGGCGUAAAGCGCACGCAGGCGGUCUGUCAAGUCGGAUGUGAAAUCCCCGGGCUCAACCUGGGAACUGCAUUCGAAACUGGCAGGCUUGAGUCUUGUAGAGGGGGGUAGAAUUCCAGGUGUAGCGGUGAAAUGCGUAGAGAUCUGGAGGAAUACCGGUGGCGAAGGCGGCCCCCUGGACAAAGACUGACGCUCAGGUGCGAAAGCGUGGGGAGCAAACAGGAUUAGAAACCCCGGUAGUCCCAUGA
rnacentral:rRNA from 1 species